AUAAACCUCUGAACCUCUGGUUGCUGAGUUCUGAGCAGAAUCAGAAGCUCCUGCUCUUCCAACGGUGCUGAGGAACUUGCCACCGCACAACUGGCGUCGGAGCUACAUCUUGGGGUGAAAAAUACUCCCAGAAUCCACAUACCACAUCAGAGGGAGUUGGAACUACCCUGCCUGUGUGGUUUGUUACCCACUAACUGUUAACAUUGAUUAGAACACGGGAAUUGGGCUUUCUCCAAUUGUCACCCCCAGGAUUCUCACAAGCUGGAUGUAUACGAAGUAAAAUGACCUUCUUAAUUAGAGGAAAACUAUCCAAGUAGGUGGCAGAGGGAAGCACACAACCAAAGUGGCAUCCAAUCUGAUACAGCAGAUGAAAAUUCCCCUUUCUCAUCUGAGAAUUGUUAUCUGCUUUCCCAAGACAUUAUUUCUACAAACUCUG